UGGGGAAUAUUGGGCAAUGGGCGCAAGCCUGACCCAGCAACGCCGCGUGAAGGAAGAAGGCUUUCGGUUGUAAACUUCUUUUCUUCAGGGACGAACAGAUGACGGUACCUGAGGAAUAAGCCACGGCUAACUACGUGCC
rnacentral:rRNA from 1 species